rnacentral:rRNA from 1 species
GAUGAACGCUGGCGGCGUGCCUAAUACAUGCAAAUCGAGCGAACGGACGAGAAGCUUGCUUCUCUGAUGUUAGCGGCGGACGGGUGAGUAACACGUGGAUAACCUACCUAUAAGACUGGGAUAACUUCGGGAAACCGGAGCUAAUACCGGAUAAUAUUUUGAACCGCAUGGUUCAAAAGUGAAAGACGGUCUUGCUGUCACUUAUAGAUGGAUCCGCGCUGCAUUAGCUAGUUGGUAAGGUAACGGCUUACCAAGGCAACGAUGCGUAGCCGACCUGAGAGGGUGAUCGGCCACACUGGAACUGAGACACGGUCCAGACUCCUACGGGAGGCAGCAGUAGGGAAUCUUCCGCAAUGGGCGAAAGCCUGACGGAGCAACGCCGCGUGAGUGAUGAAGGUCUUCGGAUCGUAAAACUCUGUUAUUAGGGAAGAACAUAUGUGUAAGUAACUGUGCACAUCUUGACGGUACCUAAUCAGAAAGCCACGGCUAACUACGUG